UUUAUGUAGCCCUUCCUGCCACCUUUUACAUUUCCUACUUCUUGUAUGUAUCAACACUGCCACUUCCUUACAAAAUUGAUCUUCAUUAAAAGCCUUGUUCUCAAAUCUAAUAGAGUUCCUGUUCCUCCAUAUCAAUGCAACAGUAGUAACAAAAGCAGUUGCAGUAAUUGCCUGCUGCCAGUUUCUACUUCUAGCAUUCCUGCAUAUCCACUUUAGCUCAUCCUCCCAAGUGUUAGCUGCUUCCUGGUAACCUAUCCAAUUGCAGAUUCUGAGCCAUAAUCUGUUGGUAACUGGGCAUGCAAAAAAN
rnacentral:lncRNA from 1 species